CUUGGUCACACUCCCGCCCACCGACGCUUCCGGCGAUGGUCAAAGCCUUCCAUGGACGACCUGUUUCGAGGAUUUCGGCUCCAUGAAACUGCCCGCCCCCGGUGCGCAUGUCCUUGGGCCCUGCUGCCUCAACAUGUGCGGCGCGGUGCAUUGCUCCGAUAUCGCCAUCCUGGGUAUCCACCGGAAGCCCCCGAUGAUCGACCGCGACUGGAUCGACAAACUGUGCGAACUUCCGAUUGCCAUCGCUGCCUGUCCUACUGGGGCCAUCAAGCCGGCCAACGCCGAAUGCG
rnacentral:rRNA from 1 species